rnacentral:rRNA from 1 species
AACGAACGCUGGCGGCGUGGAUAAGACAUGCAAGUCGAACGGGAUUUUUUUCUGUAGCAAUACAGAAAAAAGUCUAGUGGCGAACGGGUGCGUAACACGUGAGCAACCUGCCGUGAAGUGGGGGAUAGCUCGCCGAAGGGCGAAUUAAUACCGCAUGUGGCCAAGGAAGACAUCUUCCUGACGCCAAAGCCGGGGCAACCUGGCGCUUCUCGAGGGGCUCGCGGCCUAUCAGCUUGUUGGUGAGGUAACGGCUCACCAAGGCUAUGACGGGUAGCUGGUCUGAGAGGACGACCAGCCACACUGGAACUGAGACACGGUCCAGACACCUACGGGUGGCAGCAGUCGAGAAUUUUUCACAAUGGGGGAAACCCUGAUGGAGCGACGCCGCGUGGAGGAUGAAGGUUUUCGGAUUGUAACUCCUGUCAUUAGAGAACAAGGCACACAGUUUAACUGGCCGUGUGUUGAUAGUAUCUGAAGAGGAAGAGACGGCUAACUCUGUGCCAGCAGCCGCAGUAA